rnacentral:lncRNA from 1 species
GUGCACCACAUCCUUUAAAGUGCCCUCCUGGCACCUGGUCUGGCAGUGAAGGCAGGAGGAGUUUGCAGGACUGCCAGCCUUGUCCUGGAGGGCACUAUUGCAACAGCUCUGGACAGAGGGCACCCACAGGACACUGCAGCCCAGGGUAAGGAGAAGAUUGAACACAUUUGUGUAGUCUGGAAGGAGAGAUGUUCUACAAAAGGUCGUCUUAACCCUCUUGAAACAAUGAGACUGUGUUCCUGUAUUUGCUGCUGCAGGUAUUAUUGUGUCAGUAGGGCCCAGACCCCAACACCCACUGAUGGACUCUCAGGAGCUCCGUGUCCCUUGGGUCACUUUUGCCCUCUUGGAUCCAGGAGUCCAGAACCGUGUCCUGCUGGCUCCUACAUGCCACAGACCCAUGGAGAGGAGUGCCAUGCUUGCCCAGAGGGUGAAUACUGUGUCCCUGGUGAGCAACCAGAGCCAUGUCCCCAAGGUAAGUUAGGGUUUCCCUGUUGGGCCUGAUUUUUUUCUGUAGUUUUUUCAGAGUCUGCUAAUUCUGAUCAAUUCUUUUUUUUUCCCAGGGCAUUUCUGUCCCAAGGGCACAGCUCUUCCACUGGCUUGUCCAGCAGGAUCGUAUAACCCCUCGCAAAGGCAAGCCAGCUGUCUUCCUUGUCCCCAAGGGUUCUUCUGUCCCAAAAAUUCCUCUUCCUUUUUGGAGAAUGAAUGUUCAGCUGGCCACUAUUGCCCUACCAGCACUGCUUCUGCCACUCAGUUUCCAUGUCCUCAAGGCACUUAUAACCCACAAAAUGGGAGCAGCCUGGUGUCUCACUGUAUCCCCUGUGAGCGAGGGCACUACUGUGCACUCACAGGGCAGGCACGUGUUACAGGGCCCUGUCUGGCUGGGUUCUACUGCAUUGGAGGCUCUUCUAAUCCAACACCCACAGAUGGUCUUCUGGGGGACGUGUGCCCAAAGGGAACUUACUGCCCUAUGGGUGCUGCCUUUCCACAGCCAUGUCCUCCUGGUUAUUAUAGCAACUCAACUGGGAAUACUGGGAUUGAGGACUGCCUUCCGUGUGAUGCAGGGUAUUUCUGCAGUGGGACUGGACUUUUAUCUCCAACUGGAUUAUGUGAAGGUGGAUUCUACUGCAGUGGAGGAGCCAUUUCUCCUAAACCUCCCAGGAUAACAGUCAGUGGAGGACCGUGUCCACCUGGACAUUACUGUGUAGCAGGGAGCAGCAGAGCCCAGCCUUGCCCUGCAGGGAGUUACAGCCCAUCCUGGAGCAUGGUGCAGUGUUUGGAGUGCCCAGAAGGUUUUUACUGUGGGACUGCUUCCACAAACUACACGGAUUGCCCUGCAGGUGGGUCUGAUGGUACCUACUUACUUGUUCUGGGAACUUAUAAGGAUUAGCAGAUGCUCUUAAAGCUGUUUGAAGUGGAUUCAACAUUGGACUGUGUUGCGUGAAUCACAAGUCUCUUCUCCUGGACCUUGGUCAAAGCACUUAACCUCUUUGUGAUUCAGUUCCCUUGUCUGAGUAGACAGAGA